CUGAAUGUACAGAAGAGUCAUGGCUCAAUCCCUACCAAUGUACAGCCACUGUGCAGUUUUAAUUGCCAGUGGAAUUUCAACCAUAAACAGAAAUCUGAGCCUUUAGUGCAUAGUUCAAUACAAUGGGCCAAAAUCUGCCCUUUUUUUAAAUGCCAUGCAAUAGUCCUGAAAUCACUGGUGUAGCAAAGGGUGCAAGUCAGGGCAGAAUUUGGCCAUAUGUACAGUAUUAUGAGUUAUUUGUUAGGCUCUCUGGACUAGAUUUUGUUCUCACUUACAGUGGUGUAUAUCUAGAGUGACUCCACUAAAGUUAAUUUGAGUUCACAUCAGUGUGACUGAGAGCAGAAUCUGGCCUUCAGAAUUCAAAUAUUCCCAGUUUGCGGCAGUACAGAGACAGGAGGAUAUAGCCCAUGAAAGUAACUGAAAGCAUUUUCAGGAUGUCAAAGAAAAGGCAGGAACAGCAAGAGCGACUUCUAAAGUAAAGUGAAGAAGCUUCCUUCUGCCAAGGUCAUCUCCAGCCAGUGGGCAGAAGGAUUGGACAACCUCGCUAAGAAUUUUUCAUCUGUUUUCUG